AUUCCAGCUCCAAUAGCGUAUAUUAAAGUUGUUGCAGUUAAAAAGCUCGUAGUUGGAUUUCUGACGUGAGGCGCUUGGCCCGUGGAUACUAAUCCUCGAGUGUCUGUGUGCCUCGGUCAUCCUUCUAGAAAUUGGCAAUGCUAUUCAUUUAGUUGUUGUCAGGAUCUAGAUCUUUUACUUUGAAAAAAUUAGAGUGUUUAAAGCAGGCUUACGCCUUGAAUACAUUAGCAUGGAAUAAUAACUUAGGACUUUGGUUCUAUUUUGUUGGUUUCUAGGACUGAAGUAAUGAUUGAUAGGGAUAGUUGGGGGUGCUAGUAUUCAGCGGCCAGAGGUGAAAUUCUUGGAUUCGCUGAAGACUAACUUAUGCGAAAGCAUUCACCAAGGAUGUCUUCAUCA
rnacentral:rRNA from 1 species